rnacentral:lncRNA from 1 species
UUCCUUGCAAAAUUUGCAAAUUUUGAGAUGAAUCUACUUUAUUCCGUUAUUUUGCAUUUGCGCUGAUCUGCAUUUCAUUUGCGUCCAUUUUUUCUUUCAUUUGCGCCGAUUUUUUUUACAGGUAAAUUACAGGUGAAUAGAUAUAAGAAGAGGUGGUAUUAGUGCCAAUGAAACAACUCUUAUUUUUCAUAUAUCAUUAAACACCUCUCCCGUUAGACAGUUGUACAAAUGUAAGGAAUUGUCAAUCAUAACAUAUAACUGUUAUGAACUCUGAAAAGUAUUGAGUAGUUCAAUUCCAUGAUGAAUGAUUCCCUG